rnacentral:rRNA from 1 species
CAAUAGCGUAUAUUAAAGUUGUUGCGGUUAAAAAGCUCGUAGUUGGAUUUCUGCUGAGAACGGCCGGUCCGCCCUUUGGGUGUGUAUCUGGCUCUUUCUUGGCAUCUUCUUGGUGAACGUUGCUGCACUUGACUGUGUGGAGCGCUACCCAGGACUUUUACUUUGAGGAAAUUAGAGUGUUUCAAGCAGGCAUACGCCUUGAAUACAUUAGCAUGGAAUAAUAAGAUAGGACCUCGGUUCUAUUUUGUUGGUUUCUAGAGCUGAGGUAAUGAUUAAUAGGGAUAGUUGGGGGCAUUCGUAUUUAACUGUCAGAGGUGAAAUUCUUGGAUUUGUUAAAGACGGGCUACUGCGAAAGCAUUUGCCAAGGAUGUUUUCAUUGA